UUAAAAUCAAUCACUGUCAUAUCUAGUCAUAAAGCUAUUCGUUUAUUAAAAAACAGAUGUCAAGCUUUCUUAGCCCAUGUUAUGGAUUUGAAUAAAGACACGUCAAAUUUGAAUAAUAUUCCUGUUGUUAGUAAAUUUCCUGACGUGUUUCCUGAAGAACUUCCCGGUCUACCCCCAGAACGUGAAGUUGAAUUCUUUAUUGAUCUUGAACCUGGUACAAAGCCCAUUUCUAAAAC
rnacentral:lncRNA from 1 species